UUUAAGGGGUGCCCGAAAGCGGGCUGAGAUUAGACCCUCCGACCUGAUCCAGGUAAUGCUGGCGUAGGGAUGAAGA
rnacentral:ncRNA from 1 species